GGGCCCGCACAAGCGGUGGAGCAUGUGGUUUAAUUCGAUGAUACGCGAGGAACCUUACCAGGGCUUAAAUGUAGGUUGCAUGAUCUAGAGAUAGAUCUUUCUUCGGACUACCUACAAGGUGCUGCAUGGUUGUCGUCAGCUCGUGCCGUGAGGUGUCAGGUUAAGUCCUAUAACGAGCGCAACCCCACGUCUUUAGUUGCCAGCAUUUUAGUUGGGCACUCUAGAGAGACUGCCGGUGAUAAACCGGAGAAGGUGUGGAUGACGUCAAGUCAUCAUGCCCCUUACAUCUGGGCUACACACGUACUACAAUGCUACGGACAAAGGGCAGCAAGUUCGCGAGGACAAGCAAAUCCCAUAAACGUGGCUC
rnacentral:rRNA from 1 species